GUGCUCACUUCAGCAGCACAUAUACUAAAAUUGGAACAAUACAAAGAAAUUAGCAUGGUCCCUGGGCAAGGAUGACACACAAAUUCAUGAAGCGUUCUGUAUUUUU
rnacentral:snRNA from 1 species